rnacentral:rRNA from 1 species
GAUGAACGCUGGCGGCGUGCCUAAUACAUGCAAGUCGAGCGAACAGACGAGGAGCUUGCUCCUCUGACGUUAGCGGCGGACGGGUGAGUAACACGUGGAUAACCUACCUAUAAGACUGGGAUAACUUCGGGAAACCGGAUCUAAUACCGGAUAAUAUAUUGAACCGCAUGGUUCAAUAGUGAAAGACGGUUUUGCUGUCACUUAUAGAUGGAUCCGCGCCGCAUUAGCUAGUUGGUAAGGUAACGGCUUACCAAGGCAACGAUGCGUAGCCGACCUGAGAGGGUGGUCGGCCACACUGGAACGGAGACACGGUCCAGACUCCUACGGGAGGCAGCAGUAGGGAAUCUUCCGCAAUGGGCGAAAGCCUGACGGAGCAACGCCGCGUGAGUGAUGAAGGUCUUCGGAUCGUAAAACUCUGUUAUUAGGGAAGAACAAAUGUGUAAGUAACUAUGCACGUAUUGACGGUACCUAAUCAGAAAGCCACGGCUAACUACGUG